CGGAAAGCACGACCGCACUAUCCGAUUGCACCAUCGGUUGCGGUUCUCCGCCAAGUCCAUGUCGCGCGGCGGGCGGCGGUGGACGGGAAGGGCGGCUAGGGUCAUGGGAGAGCAGCCGAAAGCAGGGAUCAACGUGCAAAUAUUUGGAUCGCGGAGAAUAAUCGCGAUCCAAAUCAGGUAAUUUUGUGUAGAUAUUUGGAUCGCGGAGAAUAAUCGCGAUCCAAAUAAGAGAUUUUCUUGUAAAUAUAUGGAUCACGGAGAAUUUUUGCGAUCCAAAUUAGGGGCUGAUUUGCAAAAUGUUUUCGCCUCAGUCCACCCUCCGGCGCCCCUUCUCGGAUCGCCGGCGGCCACCGCCGACGUGGACGCCAAGCCCGGAGGCUUCCGCCGCGGCCUCAUUUAAGGGAUAAUAACUGGUUCAGAGUGAUGGCGGCCCAGGGUCUUCACCAGCUUCGGUGGAGCCGCGGAGGACGGCAGGACGCCAGCAUCGAGAUGCCUGAGGACGCC
rnacentral:lncRNA from 1 species